rnacentral:rRNA from 1 species
GAUGAACGCUGGCGGCGUGCCUAAUACAUGCAAGUCGAGCGAACAGACGAGGAGCUUGCUCCUCUGACGUUAGCGGCGGACGGGUGAGUAACACGUGGAUAACCUACCUAUAAGACUGGGAUAACUUCGGGAAACCGGAGCUAAUACCGGAUAAUCUAUUGAACCGCAUGGUUCAAUAGUGAAAGACGGUUUUGCUGUCACUUAUAGAUGGAUCCGCGCCGCAUUAGCUAGUUGGUAAGGUAACGGCUUACCAAGGCGACGAUGCGUAGCCGACCUGAGAGGGUGAUCGGCCACACUGGAACUGAGACACGGUCCAGACUCCUACGGGAGGCAGCAGUAGGGAAUCUUCCGCAAUGGGCGAAAGCCUGACGGAGCAACGCCGCGUGAGUGAUGAAGGUCUUCGGAUCGUAAAACUCUGUUAUUAGGGAAGAACAAAUGUGUAAGUAACUAUGCACGUCUUGACGGUACCUAAUCAGAAAGCCACGGCUAACUACGUG